GUGGGGAAUUUUGGACAAUGGGCGCAAGCCUGAUCCAGCAAUGCCGCGUGCAGGAAGAAGGCCUUCGGGUUGUAAACUGCUUUUGUACGGAACGAAACGGUCCGGGUUAAUACCCUGGGCUAAUGACGGUACCGUAAGAAUAAGCACCGGCUAACUACGUGCCAGCAGCCGCGGUAAUACGUAGGGUGCAAGCGUUAAUCGGAAUUACUGGGCGUAAAGCGUGCGCAGGCGGUUUUGUAAGACAGGCGUGAACUCCCCGGGCUCAACCUGGGGAUUGCGCUUGUGACUGCAAGGCUGGAGUGCGGCAGAGGGGGAUGGAAUUCCGCGUGUAGCAGUGAAAUGCGUAGAUAUGCGGAGGAACACCGAUGGCGAAGGCAAUCCCCUGGGCCUGCACUGACGCUCAUGCACGAAAGCGUGGGGAGCAAACAGGAUUAGAAACCCUAGUAGUCC
rnacentral:rRNA from 1 species